CACGCUGGAGGAGUGAACAGAGCGGGAGGAGCGGCACAUUUCAGCCUAAGUGCGUUGUCACGUUCAGUGUGUUUAUGGAUGACAACAGAAGCAGCAGGAGUUACCCAUGUCUCCAGGUGUCAGCCACAGGUUGAAGGAGCUGCAGUGUUUCUGACAGCGUUGAACAGGCAGAACUCGAACUGUUGGCAGUCCCUCACCAACCACCAGCCAGCCCAAUACCCUGACACCCUGUUACACAGACCGCAACUCACAUUUACAGACAUUUAAGACUCAGGGUACACAUGUUGCAAAUGUUACUUUAUUUCCAAAGACUUCUCUCAAUAAGUGCAAAAAAAGAAGAACUCACCUUGCUCUGGGAAGCUGUGCUGUGGGUGACAAGGCAACGCUGCAGGAUGGUCCCAGCACUGUCCAGUAGGGGGCAGAGCUCAGCUUUUGGGAAGAGCCACCUCAACACCUUCUCCCUUGCUCCAGAGCUGAACCUCCUACAGACACAGCACAACACCAGCAGUCAGUGUCUGUAAAUUUUACAGAGUCCAUUUGGUGUGUGUACAGAGGUACGAAACUUCACAGUUGAGUAUGUGUACCAGAGCAGGGUGAAGUUAGCGGGUCCUUGAGGAAGGCCAAAGUUGUUGUUCUGCAUAAUUUCGUCAUCAUCCUCUAGCAGAAUGGACAUGGACCCUGAGUGAGCUAAAUAGAGCUCCUCCAGCUGCUGCCGCUGGACACUGAGGGACUCCCCACCCUGGAAUGGUUGGAUGGGUGACAUGAUUACACAACUCGGAGAGAUUGGAAAAGAAUGCAACAUUACUGCAACAACUAUCAAAUCUGAUGUGGCCUGUUCAGCAACUUUUAAAAAUAUCUUCAAAUAUAUUUUUUGUAAGAGGUGAGGCAGCAGUGAACCAUGUCUUCCCUACUCUAAAGCAGUACCUUCAGCAGGACAAGUUGUGGCCCCCGUCGAAGAGUCACCGUCCCUCUAAGGCUCUCUGGGACCUCCAGCACAGAGGAGAUCUCUGCACAGCCUGAACAGUUGACUAGAUUCUGUCGUAAAGUGCCUGCACUCCACCACUCAUGGAAACCUGCAAACAAGCACAAAUUAACCAUUAUCAAGUGCCUCAACUUUGUCCAUUUGCAUGUAAUUUUAGGGCCAACUAGGUAAACUAUAUAAUAUAAUAUUAAAGCUGCAGUGUGUGACUUAAUAAAGAUAUAUUGAUGUUA